UGCAAGUCGAACGAAGUAGCAAUACUUAGUGGCAGACGGGUGAGUAACAUGUGGGUAUCUUCCCUUUGGUGAGGAAUAACACGAGGAAACUUGUGCUAAUACCUCAUAAGUCUUUACGGAGAAAGCUUUAUGCGCCAUUGGAUGAGCCUGCACUUGAUUAGUUUGUUGGUGGGGUAAUGGCCUACCAAGACAUCGAUCAAUAGCUGAUCUGAGAGGAUGAUCAGCCACAUUGGGACUGAGACACGGCCCAAACUCCUACGGGAGGCAGCAGUAGGGAAUAUUGCACAAUGGAGGAAACUCUGAUGCAGCGAUGCCGCGUGAGUGAAGAAGGCCUUUGGGUUGUAAAGCUCUUUCGUCGGGGAAGAAAAUGACUGUACCCGAAUAAGAAGGUC
rnacentral:rRNA from 1 species